rnacentral:rRNA from 1 species
UACAGAGGUCCCGAGCGUUGUUCGGAUUCACUGGGCGUAAAGGGUGCGUAGGUGGCAUAGAAAGUUUGAUGUGAAAGCUCAGGGCUUAACCCUGAAAUGGCAUUGAAUACUGCUGUGCUGGAGGUUUGGAGGGGGGACUGGAAUUCUUGGUGUAGCAGUGAAAUGCGUAGAUAUCAAGAGGAACACCAGUGGCGAAGGCGAGGCUCUGGACAGUUCCUGACGCUGAGGCACGAAGGCCAGGGGAGCAAACGGG